rnacentral:rRNA from 1 species
CGAUCGUAUAGUGAAUCAUCGAAUCUUUGAACGCAUCUUGCACUUUUUAGGUCUCCUAGAAAGUAUACUUGUUUGAGUAUCAUUAACAUUAACUCCAAGCUUCGGCUUGGGAAUUGAGACCUUAAGCAGUGUGCUAACGUACACAGCCUAUGUCUUUUAAGUGAUAUGUAGAGUGUUGUGCUAGUCACAAGCCUCCUCCCAUACCAAAUGUGAGAUAAACAUCGCACAGAGUAGUUGAGAAGGUUAAGCUUUACUACGCCUGGAAGUAAGUGUGGCAACACGCUUCUUCAACCCCAAUUGAAUCAGUGAUCUCAAAUCAAGUAAGACUACCCGCUGAACUUAAGCAUAUCAAUAAGCGGAGG